UACGUAGGGGGCGAGCGUUGUCCGGAUUUAUUGGGCGUAAAGAGCGUGUAGGCGGUUCGGUAAGUCUGUCGUGAAAUCCUGAGGCUCAACCUCGGACGUGCGAUGGAUACUGCCGGGCUAGAGGAUGGUAGAGGCGAGUGGAAUUCCCGGUGUAGCGGUGAAAUGCGCAGAUAUCGGGAGGAACACCAGUAGCGAAGGCGGCUCGCUGGGCCAUUCCUGACGCUGAGACGCGAAAGCUAGGGGGGCGAACAGG
rnacentral:rRNA from 1 species